AUAAAACAUAUGGCAGGAUCAAUGCAAGCUAGCGCAUACACGUCCAGCGGGGUCCGUCUGGCCGCAGACACGGGCUGUUAGGACUAGGCACAAGCGCCACGGCGUAUUUUAAAAGAAUGUGGGGAUCUGAACGGGCUGGUAGGAGUAGUUGCGCGGCACUGAUAAUUACACUAUAUUGGCAACCACUUUUGCCAGGUCAUAUGACCUAUAACCCAGGAAGUUAUAAAAGGCUGCCAAGAUGGAAUCUCAUUCUCUUGCUGCUGUUUUUUUUUUUUACAACUGGUCGUGGGGGUGACUGCUAGCAGCAUGUAACUCUUCAUGGAGGACGCGGAGGCGAUUGCAAUUUUAUCAUUUGACGUGAUCCCCUACGGGCUGCUGGGCUACAGACACCGAGGCUCUGGUAACAUGGGUUAUACUGUGGGAUUUAAAAGGGUCUGUGUUUCUUUGUUGAUUGUUUCUUUGUACCUGUAGCAUUGGAACGCUUCCUCUUGGUGUUGCGAGGACAUUUAGCAUUCCUGCAAAGGACCAGACUAGCCACUGUUUUAGGCUUAUUUGAUUGGCUUUUGGUUUUCUUUUAUUAGUGCCCUGGUUGUUGAUAUGGGCUAAGUUGUAAGUGUAAUUUUAGUAUUGUAAUUUGGGCGGUGGACGUCGGCCGCUACCCUCUUAUGUUUGUACAACGGGAUCUUUCUGUACAAGGCCGGAUCCGCACAGGCUUUUGCUCUCUGCUGUUGGGGUGCCACACUGAGCGGACACUGUACUGUUGUGUGUAAUGUUUGUCGUAUUGUAUGCUGUGUGGUGUUUUGCUGUUUUCUUUGUCACCAGGUGCCUCCUGAGCUGCGCGUGCCGAUCUGACCUUACUAUCUGGAGGAUAGUCAGCCGCCCCGCCCCCCCAGCAACCUUCUUUGUCUGAUUUUUAGAUAUUUGUAAUAAAGUGGAUUGGAUUUUAUUUUUA